UAUUUAUUUGCAAUAUCAAAAGGAUUAAGAUAAUUUAUGAAAAAUAAUUAUGGAGAUUAAGAUUUUCAAUGUUAAACAAAAAACCAUGAAUAAAAACAAUUACAAUUAACGAAAUGAAUUUGUUCGAGAAAUGUGUGAAUUUACCGUAAUUGGACAUGAUCCAAUUGUUGUAAUAUAAACGCAUACCUUUUUACUUAGACUACCCUCAAUGGAGAAUGAAUGCUUUAUAGCAAAAAUGUUUCUUCGGUUAAACGUAAGCCAAUUCGCGAAGGUCGAGUUUGGCUAAAGAGAUUGGAAAACAUACUGGUCACACUACUGCUACUCCUUUUGCUGCUUUCUAGCACUCUGUCCGCGGAGCAUCUACACAUACGAUGGCCUUGACCGUUUUCUCCGUGUGUGACACUAACAGUUACACGCGCUUAUAUACAGGAUGAUGGAAAAAAAA